CAGUGAGGACGAAGCGCCGGGGCCCUGCCUGCGCCCCCACUCAGGGCGCCCUCGUCACGGCCGCGUCCUGUCCUCCGUGCGCUCCUAAUAGCUCCACGUCAGAGUUCCCGGUUUCAAUGGAUGAAUCCAAUGUGGAGACCAUAACCGCUGAAAGGAGUCCACAGAGCAAGUCUGAUGGUCCUGCUUCCUUGGGCAUAUUCUACCAGGUAUGGCAGAAGAAUGGAUAGUACACAGGUAAAAACUAUCUUUCUAGGGCUUGGUAUUCUCAAGUACAAAUGAAAGUAUUGUGUUAAUAUGAACUAACCAGUAUGCCCCCAGAGCUGUGUCUCUAGUUGCAUAUGUAGCAGAGGAUGGGAGGAGAGGCCCUUGGUCUUGUGAAGAUCAUAUGCCCCAGUUCAGGGGAAUGCCAGGGCCAGGAAACAGAAGUGGGUGAGUUGAGGAGCAGGGAGGGGAGAGGGUAUAGAGGGCUUUGGGGAUAGCAUUUGAAAUGUAAAUGAAGAAAAUACCUAAUAAAAAAGAAAAAAAUAGUAUUGUGUUAAUUUUAAUAAAAUUCCAAAAAAAAAAAA
rnacentral:lncRNA from 1 species